AGUGAACGCUGGCGGUAGGCCUAACACACGCAAGUCGAACGGCAGCACAGGAGAGCUUGCUCUCUGGGUGGCGAGUGGCGGACGGGUGAGGAAUACAUCGGAAUCUACUCUGUCGUGGGGGAUAACGUAGGGAAACUUACGCUAAUACCGCAUACGACCUACGGGUGAAAGCAGGGGAGCUUCGGACCUUGCGCGAUUGAAUGAGCCGAUGUCGGAUUAGCUAGUUGGCGGGGUAAAGGCCCACCAAGGCGACGAUCCGUAGCUGGUCUGAGAGGAUGAUCAGCCACACUGGAACUGAGACACGGUCCAGACUCCUACGGGAGGCAGCAGUGGGGAAUAUUGGACAAUGGGCGCAAGCCUGAUCUAGCCAUACCGCGUGGGUGAAGAGGGCCUUCGGGUUGUAAAGCCCUUUUGUUGGGAAAGAAAUCCAGCUGGCUAAUACCCGGUUGGGAUGACGGUACCCAAAGAAUAAGCACCGGCUAACUUCGUGCCAGCCGCCGCGGUAA
rnacentral:rRNA from 1 species